GUGUGAGGUCAGCACUGCCCUUGAUAAGAAGAGGCGAGGUCCCUGUGUCCCAUACAACACAUACAUGGUUAAGGCACUGCCACUUACUGCAUGACAUCUAACCAUCUUUUCAC
rfam:Colius striatus contig6230, whole genome shotgun sequence.